rnacentral:rRNA from 1 species
UACGUAGGGUGCAGGCGUUAAUCGGAAUUACUGGGCGCAAAGCGUGCGCAGGCGGUUUGCUAAGACAGGUGUGAAAUCCCCGGGCUUAACCUGGGAACUGCGCUUGUAACUGGCAAGCUUGAGUGUGGCAGAGGGGGGUGGAAUUCCACGUGUAGCAGUGAAAUGCGUAGAGAUGUGGAGGAACACCGAUGGCGAAGGCAGCCCCCUGGGCUAACACUGACGCUCAUGCACGAAAGCGUGGGGAGCAAACAGG